rnacentral:rRNA from 1 species
UACGGAGGGAGCUAGCGUUGUUCGGAAUUACUGGGCGUAAGCGCGCGUAGGCGGCUUUUGUAAGUUAGAGGUGAAAGCCCGGAGCUCAACUCCGGAACUGCCUUUAAAACUGCAUCGCUUGAAUCCAGGAGAGGUGAGUGGAAUUCCGAGUGUAGAGGUGAAAUUCGUAGAUAUUCGGAAGAACACCAGUGGCGAAGGCGGCUCACUGGACUGGUAUUGACGCUGAGGUGACGAAAGCGGUGGGGAGCAAACAGG